AUUGAACGCUGGCGGCAGGCUUAACACAUGCAAGUCGAGCGAGCGGCGGACGGGUGAGUAAUGUCUGUGAAACUGCCUGAUGGCGGGGGAUAACUCCUGGAAACGGUAGCUAAUACCGCAUACCAUCAGAUGUGCCUAGAUGGGAUUAGCUAGUCGGUGGGGUAAUGGCUCACCUGGGCGACGAUCCCUAGCUGGUCUGAGAGGAUGACCAGCAACACUGGAACGGAGACACGGUCCGAACUCCUACGGGGGGCAGCAUUGGGGAAUAUUGCACAAGGGGCGCAAGCCUUAUGCAGCCAUGCCGCGUGUGUGAAGAAGGCCUUCGGGUUGUAAAGCACUUUCAGCGAGGAGGCGUUACUCGCAGAAGAAGCACCGGCUAACUCCGUGCCAGCAGCCGCGGUAAUUC
rnacentral:rRNA from 1 species